rnacentral:rRNA from 1 species
GACGAACGCUGGCGGCGUGCUUAACACAUGCAAGUCGAACGGAAAGGCCCUGCUUUUGUGGGGUGCUCGAGUGGCGAACGGGUGAGUAACACGUGAGUAACCUGCCCUUGACUUUGGGAUAACUUCAGGAAACUGGGGCUAAUACCGGAUAGGAGCUCCUGCUGCAUGGGGGGGGUUGGAAAGUUUCGGCGGUUGGGGAUGGACUAGCGGCUUAUCAGCUUGUUGGUGGAGUAGUGGCUUACCAAGUUUUCGACGGAUAGCCGGCCUGGGAGGGUGGACAGGCACAAGGGGCCUACGGUAGGGACCAGUCUCGUACGUUAGGCAGCGGUCGGAAGUCUUACGCAAUGGGGCCGAGCGUGAUGCGGAGGUGCUGCGUGCGGAAUGACGUCCUACGGGUUGUGAACCGCUUUCGCCUGUGACGUAGCGUGAGUGACGGUAAUGGGUAAAGAAGCACCGGCUAACUACGUG